rnacentral:rRNA from 1 species
UACGAAGGGGGCAAGCGUUGUUCGGAAUUACUGGGCGUAAAGGGCGCGUAGGCGGCCUUCUAAGUCAGACGUGAAAUCCCCCGGCUUAACCUGGGAACUGCGUCUGAUACUGGAAGGCUUGAGUGCGGGAGAGGGAUGUGGAAUUCCAGGUGUAGCGGUGAAAUGCGUAGAUAUCUGGAGGAACACCGGUGGCGAAGGCGGCAUCCUGGACCGACACUGACGCUGAGGCGCGAAAGCUAGGGUAGCAAACGGG